UGSGCAKCUAUSAUGSAGUCGMGYGGACAGAAGGGAGCKUGCUCCCGGAUGUUAGCGGCGGASGGSUGAGUAAYACGUGGGUAACCUGCSUGKAAGACUGGGAUAACUCCGGGAAACCGGAGCUAAUACCGGAUAGUUCCUUGAACCGCAUGGUUCAAGGAUGAAAGACGGUUUCGGSUGUSACUUACAGAUGGACCCGCGGCGSAUUAGCUAGUUGGUGGGGUAAUGGSUCACCAAGGCGACGAUGCGUAKSCGASCUGAGAGGGYGAUSGGCSASACUGGGACUGAGACACGGCCCAGACUMCUACGGGAGGCAGCAGUAGGGAAUCUUCCGCAAUGGACGAAAGUCUGACGGAGCAACGCCGCGUGAGUGAUGAAGGUUUUCGGAUCGUAAAGCUCUGUUGUUAGGGAAGAACAAGUGCGAGAGUAACUGCUCGCACCUUGACGGUACCUAACCAGAAAGCCACGGCUAACUACGUGCCAGCAGCCGCGGUAAUACGUAGGUGGCAAGCGUUGUCCGGAAUUAUUGGGCGUAAAGGGCUCGCAGGCGGUUUCUUAAGUCUGAUGUGAAAGCCCCCGGCUCAACCGGGGAGGGUCAUUGGAAACUGGGAAACUUGAGUGCAGAAGAGGAGAGUGGAAUUCCACGUGUAGCGGUGAAAUGCGUAGAGAUGUGGAGGAACACCAGUGGCGAAGGCGACUCUCUGGUCUGUAACUGACGCUGAGGAGCGAAAGCGUGGGGAGCGAACAGGAUUAGAUACCCUGGUAGUCCACGCCGUAAACGAUGAGUGCUAAGUGUUAGGGGGUUUCCGCCCCUUAGUGCUGCAGCUAACGCAUUAAGCACUCCGCCUGGGGAGUACGGUCGCAAGACUGAAACUCAAAGGAAUUGACGGGGGCCCGCACAAGCGGUGGAGCAUGUGGUUUAAUUCGAAGCAACGCGAAGAACCUUACCAGGUCUUGACAUCCUCUGACACCCUAGAGAUAGGGCUUUCCCUUCGGGGACAGAGUGACAGUGUGCAUGAUGUCGUCAGCUCGUGUCGUGAGAUGGUGGCUAAGUCCGCACCGAGCGCAUCCAUGAUCUAGCUUGCCAGCAUUCAGUGGUCACUCUAGUUGACUGACCGGU
rnacentral:rRNA from 1 species